rnacentral:rRNA from 1 species
GAUGAACGCUGGCUACAGGCUUAACACAUGCAAGUCGAGGGGCAGCAUGCCGGUUGCUUGCAACCGGUGAUGGCGACCGGCGCACGGGUGAGUAACGCGUAUCCAACCUUCCCGCGACCAAGGGAUAACCUGCCGAAAGGCAGACUAAUACCUUAUGUCCUCCUUUGAAGGCAUCUGACGAGGAGCAAAGAUCCGUCGGUCACGGAUGGGGAUGCGUCCGAUUAGCUUGUUGGCGGGGCAACGGCCCACCAAGGCAUCGAUCGGUAGGGGUUCUGAGAGGAAGGCCCCCCACACUGGAACUGAGACACGGUCCAGACUCCUACGGGAGGCAGCAGUGAGGAAUAUUGGUCAAUGGGCGGAAGCCUGAACCAGCCAAGUAGCGUGCAGGACGACGGCCCUACGGGUUGUAAACUGCUUUUAUGCGGGGAUAAAGUUGCCCAACGU